UACGAAGGGGGCUAGCGUUGCUCGGAUUUACUGGGCGUAAAGGGCGCGUAGGCGGACAGGUAAGUUGGGGGUGAAAGCCCGGGGCUCAACCUCGGAACUGCCUUCAAUACUGGCUGUCUUGAGUGUGAGAGAGGUGUGUGGAACUCCGAGUGUAGAGGUGAAAUUCGUAGAUAUUCGGAAGAACACCAGUGGCGAAGGCGACACACUGGCUCACUACUGACGCUGAGGCGCGAAAGCGUGGGGAGCAAACAGG
rnacentral:rRNA from 1 species